GUGCGUGCGUGCGUGCGUGUGCGCGUGCACCCAAGACAGAAUCAGUGGAGCCACACACAGCAUGAGGCAGUAAAUUACACAUGAGAAAUGAAGGCCUCUGGAUAAUACCAAAGCCAAAUGUUUGUGUGCAACUACAUACGUCUGUGUUACACUUCUACCAAUGCCUCUUACACAGACUCGGGCACCUGGAGGUGACAGGACCAGGAAAGGGAGAGGUGUACGGACCAAUUAGUUUCCACACUUGCUCACUGAGUUCCGCUGUUCAUAUUUAGGUACACAGCUUUGGGCAAGGAACCAUAUGGACUCCCCAGCAAGUACUGGGCACGUGCCCUUGCCAUUUAUUGACUAGUGACUCUAUACCAGGCAUAACUGAAGUCCUUUAUGCAACAAUGUAACAAGUCUUACAAGCCUCAUGUGGGGCAAAACUACAGAAACCAUGGCAACAACAGUCUGCCUGACCUGGUAGAGACAAGUAUACCAGGCUAGUUGGCCUUUUUAUUUAGUAAAGGAAGCGAUUUCAGAGCCCCCGUAGGGUCUUAUUUUUUCAGCAACAUUUAUUGCUUUCUUGUAAUUAAAUCUUAUUUUGGAAGAUGCAAAUCUAUCGCCAUCUGGUGGCAUCAUACAGUACUACAUGUGGAGAGUUUCUUCUCCCAGCAGUUUCCUUGAUUGGGUCAAGGCAGCAGUUGGACUGGACUCCUACUACCAGACUCUGUGUAUCAGAAGCGAGAACCCAGAAUUUCCUGCAGCCCUUUCAAGGCAGGCACACCAUUACAACUAAACGAACCUGUUAGCUGGUUCCUUUGAUCUUAGAUUUGGUGACAAGGGACCCAGGGGGUCAUGUGUCAGUCCCUUUUCUGGUUGGAAGAGGGAUGUCUUUCUUUUGGCUCCCUGUUAGAGGGUAUAGCCAUCAUGGUGGGGAAGAUAUGGCUGCAGGAGGUGAUGCUGCAUGAUGCCGUCUUGGACCAGGAAGAAAACACAGAAUGGGAGUGGGGCCAGAAGCAGGCUGGGGUUACCACCCUUAAGACUCACUUCCCAGCCCUCCACUUCCUCUCCACACCCUCUGAAAUGAGCUCCACAAGCUGGGACCAAGUGUUCAAACACAUGAACCUGUAGGGACAGUUCACCUUCAAACCCUAAGAUGGGAAGGGCCCAGGGAUGCCACCUUUCUGGGAAUGUCAUCAUGUGGGUGUACGUACAUCUCCAUCUUGUCAGAAAAUGGUUAGGCGGUGGCCAUUCAAGGGCUCAGUAACCCAGAAGUUUCUCAGGAUUGUGG
rnacentral:lncRNA from 1 species